AUGACUAUUACAUCUGGGGCGCUGCCAGCGACGGUCAAUCACGAAUUGCACCAGGAGCACAAGCUCAGCCUGGUGGACAUGGCAAGCUGGAGCUUCAAUUGCGACGUGUGCAAGCAGCACGGAGAAGGGACCGCGCACUACCGGUGCGAGCCAUGCAACUUCCACGCCCACCCAGAGUGUGCCACCGCUCCGGCGACCUUCAAGCAUGUCAACUACGCCGGCGAUUUCGUGUUGUAUGCCGAGUCUGGUUCCGGCGACCCUCCAAUGUGCUGCGGCUUGUGUGGACUCGAGGUUCUCGGCUACAGGUACUACAACCGCGAAGAGUAUGACCGCCUCCACCCCUCCUGUGCCUUCAUGCCUAGGCGUGUCAUCCAGGAUGGCCGCACCUUCCAGCUCGGCUACCACCCAUCUGGUACAUGCGCCAUGUGCAAGAACCCAUCCACGACGUCCUUGUCCUACCGCUCCACCUACGACGACGGUGAGGAGGUGUACCUGCAUGUGCAAUGCCUCGUCGACACCAACAACAGGCUGACCGGUUAUCAAGACUGGGUGGCGAGCGCGCCGAUAAUGCCGGGCGUGCUGAGAAGCUUUACUAGGAAGAAGCAGGGAGGCGGUCUCAUGAAGGCUGCCAGCCUGUCCUUUGACAUCGCCCGUGCCGUACUCGAGGUGGCGAGUCUGGAUAUUGGGGGCAUGGCAGAAACUGCACAAACCGUGGCCGAGGCAUUCAAUAGUGAAUGA
rnacentral:rRNA from 1 species